CCCAAGAGAUCGGGAUAACACCUGGAAACAGAUGCUAAUACCGGAUAACAACAGAUGAUGCCUAUCAACUGUUUAAAAGAUGGUUCUGCUAUCACUCUUGGAUGGACCUGCGGUGCAUUAGCUAGUUGGUAGGGUAACGGCCUGCCAAGGCGAUGAUGCAUAGCCGAGUUGAGAGACUGAUCGGCCACAUUGGGACUGAGACACGGCCCAAACUCCUACGGGAGGCAGCAGCC
rnacentral:rRNA from 1 species